rnacentral:rRNA from 1 species
GACGAACCCGUGCGAACGUUGUUCGGAAUCACUGGGCUUAAAGGGCGCGUAGGCGGCCGAUCAAGUCCGGGGUGAAAGCCCCCAGCUUAACUAGGGGAGGUAGCCUUCGGUAGUACUGAUCGGCGUAGAGCGAGGUAGGGGCGAGCUGGAACGUUACCGGUGGAGCGGUGAAAUAGCGUUGAUAUCGGAAGGAACGCCGGUGGCGAAAG